GAUGAACGCUAGCGGGAGGCUUAACACAUGCAAGUCGAGGGGCAGCAUGGGGUAGCAAUACCCUGAUGGCGACCGGCAGACGGGUGAGUAACGCGUAUGUAACCUACCCUGUACAGGGGGAUAACCCGGAGAAAUUCGGACUAAUAUCCCAUAGAAAUAUUGGAAGGCAUCUUUUGAUAUUUAAAGUUCCGGCGGUACGGGAUGGGCAUGCGUAACAUUAGCUAGUUGGUAAGGUAACGGCUUACCAAGGCUUUGAUGUUUAGGGGUCCUGAGAGGGUGGUCCCCCACACUGGUACUGAGACACGGACCAGACUCCUACGGGAGGCAGCAGUGAGGAAUAUUGGUCAAUGGGCGCAAGCCUGAACCUGCCAUCCCGCGUGCAGGAAGACGGCGCUAUGCGUUGUAAACUGCUUUUCCAGGGGGAGAAACUUGCGCACGUGUUGCGCAAUUGACGGUACCCUGGGAAUAAGCAUCGGCUAACUCCGUGCCAGCCGCCGCCGUAAUAC
rnacentral:rRNA from 1 species